rnacentral:rRNA from 1 species
UUGGAGGGCAGUCUGGUGCCAGCAGCCGCGGUAAUUCCAGCUCCAAUAGCGUAUAUUAAAGUUGUUGCAGUUAAAAGCUCGUAGUUGAAUUUCGGGAUCAAAUUGUCGGUCGUGCCUCGGUACGCACUGGUAUUAUUGGUUCCUACCUUCUGAAGAACCGCGAUGUCAUUAAUUUGGUGUCGUGGGGAAUCAGGACUGUUACUUUGAAAAAAUUAGAGUGUUUAAAGCAGGCUUACGCUUGAAUACAUUAGCAUGGAAUAAUGAAAUAGGACGUUUGAUUCUAUUUUGUUGGUUUCUAGGAUUGACGUAAUGAUUAAUAGGGAUAGUUGGGGGCAUUAGUAUUCAAUUGUCAGAGGUGAAAUUCUUGGAUUUAUUGAAGACUAACUACUGCGAAAGCAUUUGCCAAGGAUGUUUUCAUUAAUCAAGAACGAAAGUUAGGGGAUCGAAGACGAUCAGAUACCGUCGUAGUCUUAACCAUAAACUAUGCCGACUAGGGAUCGGAUGAUGUUAAUUUUUUAAUGACACAUUCGGCGCCUUACGGGAAGC